CACACAUAGCCUUGCAAACCACAUGAAGGAGAUUUAACUUUAUCUCAAUGACAGUGGGGGAAAUCAGUGGAGGUGUUGGCAUGGGUGUGAUGUGAUGUCACCAAGGUCCCAGUGUUCAUGGAAGCCUGUGUUGAGAGAGCCACAGAGCAAAGUAUCUGGGACCACUGAGUCACCAUAUGGAGGAGAGCUACCUGGAACAUUCAGGGUGGACUUCGUAUAAGUGAGAGGUCAACAGAUGUCCUCUCUGUUCCUGGUCACCGUGCUAGGUGUGGAGGACACAGAGAGGGAGAAGACCUCUCUGCCUUCUUGGAGCUCACAAGCCGGUAGAAAACUUCUAAGCAGGAAAGUAAAAUGAUC
rnacentral:lncRNA from 1 species